rnacentral:rRNA from 1 species
AUUAAGCCAUGCAAGUGUUAGUUCAGUGUAAACGAAACUGCGAAUAGCUCAUUAAUACGCUCAGAAUCUAUUUGGCGGCGACCAACAGGUCUUAAAUGGAUAGCAGCAGCAACUCUGGUGCUAAUACAUGCGAUUGUUUCUCCAGAUGUGAAUUAUGGAGGAAAAGUUGACCUCUCUGAGGCACGCCAUUCGACUGAGUGACCUAUCAGCUUGUACUUAGGGUCUUUACCUAGGUAGGCUAUCACGGGUAACGGGCGGUUACCGUCGGACUGCCGGAGAAGGCGCCUGAGAGAUAGCGACUAUAUCCACGGGUAGCAGCAGGCGCGAAACUUUCCCACUCGAGACUUUCGGAGGAGGUAAUGACCAGUUCCAUUGAUGCCUUAUGGUAUUGUGGAUAGGGGUACGGUUUUCCACCGUACCGAAACCUAGCAGAGGGCCAGUCUGGUGCCAGCAGCUGCGGUAAUUCCAGCUCUGCGAGUUUGCUCCCAUAUUGUUGCAGUUAAAACGCCCGUAGUCUGAAUUGGCCAGCAAUGGUCGUAUGUAUUUAUACGUUCACUGUGAACAAAUCAGGACGCUUAGAGUAUGGCUACAUGAAUGACUCAGCGCAGUAUGAAGUCUUUGUUUUCUUCCGAAAACAAGCUCAACGAGAGCCAUCGGGGGUAGAUCUAUCUCAUGACGAGUGGUGGAAUACUUUGACUCAUGAGAGAGAAUCUGAGGCGAAGGCGUCUACCUAGAGGGUUUCUGUCGAUCAAGGGCGAGAGUAGGAGUAUCCAACAGGAUUAGAGACCCUGGUAGUUCCUACCUUAAACGAUGCCGACAGGAGUUUGUCACUUGUUAGUGGCAGAAUCUUUGGAGAAAUCAUAGUUCUUGGGCUCUGGGGGAACUACGACCGCAAGGCUGAAACUUGAAGGAAUUGACGGAAGGGCACACCAGGGGUGGAGCCUGUGGCUUAAUUUGAAUCAACACGGGGAAACUUACCAGGACCAGAUGUUUUUUAUGACUGACAGGCUUUGGGUCUUUCAGGAUAUUGCUUUUGGUGGUGCAUGGCCGUUGGUGGUGCGUGGGUUGACCUGUCUAGCGUUGAUUCAGCUAACGAGCGAGAUUAUCGCCAAUUAUAUACUUCGUCUAAGUCUUUAGAUAGAAGUUCUAAUUGGGACUCCCUGCGAUUUUAGCAGGUGGAAGAGGGUAGCAAUAACAGGUCCGUGAUGCCCUU